UGAUAUUAGCAGAAGAGGAAGGGACGGCUAACUCCGUGCCAGCAGCCGCGGUAAUACGGAGGGUGCAAGCGUUAUCCGGAUUUAUUAGGUUUAAAGGGUUCGCAGGCGGAAUUUUAAGUCAGUGGUGAAAGCCUACAGCUCAACUGUAGAACUGCCAUUGAAACUGAUAUUCUUGAGUAUAGAUGAAGUGGGCGGAAUAUGUCAUGUAGCGGUGAAAUGCAUAGAUAUGACAUGGAACACCAAUUGCGAAGGCAGCUCACUAAACUAUUACUGACGCUCAUGAACGAAAGCGUGGGGAGCGAACAGGAUUAGAUACCCUGGUAGUCCACGCCGUAAACUAUGAUCACUAGAUGUUGGCGAUAUACUGUCAGUGUUUUAGAGAAAUCGUUAAGUGAUCCACCUGGGGAGUACGUUCGCAAGAAUGAAACUCAAAGGAAUUGACGGGGGCCCGCACAAGCGGAGGAACAUGUGGUUUAAUUCGAUGAUACGCGAGGAACCUUACCAAGGCUUAAAUGUAGAUUGACAGAUUGUGAAAACAGUUUUUCUUCGGACAAUUUACAAGGUGCUGCAUGGUUGUCGUCAGCUCGUGCCGUGAGGUGUCGGGUUAAGUCCCAUAACGAGCGCAACCCCUAUUUUUAGUUGCCAGCGAGUAAUGUCGGGAACUCUAGAAAGACUGCCUGUGUAAACAGUGAGGAAGGUGGGGAUGACGUCAAAUCAUCACGGCCCUUAUGUCUUGGGCUACACACGUGUUACAAUGGUUACUACAGUGGGCUGCCAUCUGGCAACAGAGAGCAAAUCCAUAAAGGUAAUCCCAGUUCGGAUCGGAGUCUGCAACUCGACUCCGUGAAGUUGGAUUCGCUAGUAAUCGUAUAUCAGCAAUGAUACGGUGAAUACGUUCCCGGGCCUUGUACACACCGCCCGUCAAGCCAUGGAAGUUUGUGGUGCCUGAAGUCAGUAACCGAAAGG
rnacentral:rRNA from 1 species